GAUGAACGCUGGCGGCGUGCCUAAUACAUGCAAGUCGAGCGAACGGACGAGAAGCUUGCUUCUCUGAUGUUAGCGGCGGACGGGUGAGUAACACGUGGAUAACCUACCUAUAAGACUGGGAUAACUUCGGGAAACCGGAGCUAAUACCGGAUAAUAUUUUGAACCGCAUGGUUCAAAAGUGAAAACCGGUCUUGCUGUCACUUAUAGAUGGAUCCGCGCUGCAUUAGCUAGUUGGUAAGGUAACGGCUUACCAAGGCAACGAUGCAUAGCCGACCUGAGAGGGUGAUCGGCCACACUGGAACUGAGACACGGUCCAGACUCCUACGGGAGGCAGCAGUAGGGAAUCUUCCGCAAUGGGCGAAAGCCUGACGGAGCAACGCCGCGUGAGUGAUGAAGGUCUUCGGAUCGUAAAACUCUGUUAUUAGGGAAGAACAUAUGUGUAAGUAACUGUGCACAUCUUGACGGUACCUAAUCAGAAAGCCACGGCUAACUACGUG
rnacentral:rRNA from 1 species